CGAACGGGUGAGUAACGCGUGGGGAAUCUGCCUUUGAGCGGGGGACAACAUUUGGAAACGAAUGCUAAUACCGCAUAAAAACUUUAAACACAAGUUUUAAGUUUGAAAGAUGCAAUUGCAUCACUCAAAGAUGAUCCCGCGUUGUAUUAGCUAGUUGGUGAGGUAAAGGCUCACCAAGGCGAUGAUACAUAGUCGACCUGAGAGGGUGAUCGGCCACAUUGGGACUGAGACACGGCCCAAACUCCUACGGGAGGCAGCAUG
rnacentral:rRNA from 1 species